AGAGUUUGAUCAUGGCUCAGGAUGAACGCUGGCGGCGUGCCUAACACAUGCAAGUCGAGCGAGAAACCUGCAAUUGAAACUUCGGUAGAUUUUGCGGGCGGAAAGCGGCGGACGGGUGAGUAACGCGUAGGCAACCUGCCCUUUGCAGAGGGAUAGCAACGGGAAACUGUUAUUAAAACCUCAUAAUACCGACAUGUCAAAUGACAAGACGGUCAAAGAUUUAUCGGCAAAGGAUGGGCCUGCGUCUGAUUAGUUAGUUGGUAGGGUAACGGCCUACCAAGGCAGCGAUCAGUAGCCGACCUGAGAGGGUGAUCGGCCACAUUGGAACUGAGACACGGUCCAAACUCCUACGGGAGGCAGCAGUGGGGAAUAUUGCACAAUGGGCGAAAGCCUGAUGCAGCAACGCCGCGUGAAGGAUGAAGGCCUUUGGGUCGUAAACUUCUGUCCUUGGGGAAGAAAAAAAUGACGGUACCCCUGGAGGAAGUCCCGGCUAACUACGUGCCAGCAGCCGCGGUAAUACGUAGGGGGCGAGCGUUAUCCGGAAUUAUUGGGCGUAAAGAGUACGUAGGUGGUUUUUUAAGCGCAGGGUUUAAGGCGAUGGCUCAACUGUCGUUCGCCCUGUGAACUGGAAGACUUGAGUACAGGAGAGGAAAGCGGAAUUCCUAGUGUAGCGGUGAAAUGCAUAGAUAUUAGGAGGAACACCAGUGGCGAAGGCGGCUUUCUGGACUGUAACUGACACUGAGGUACGAAAGCGUGGGGAGCAAACAGGAUUAGAUACCCUGGUAGUCCACGCUGUAAACGAUGAGCACUAGGUGUCGGGGUCGCAAGAUCACGGUGCCGCAGUUAACGCAUUAAGUGCUCCGCCUGGGGAGUACGCACGCAAGUGUGAAACUCAAAGGAAUUGAC
rnacentral:rRNA from 1 species